AAUUUUCGUUGUUUUCACAGUUUUUUACUGUUUUUCUCGACAGUUUCUUACUGUAUAAGUUGUUUACAGUUUGUUACUGUAGAUUUGUUGUUUCCACAGUAUUUUAAUGUAUUUUCAACAGUUUUUUACUGCAUAAGCUUUGUACAGUAGGCUACUGUAGUUUUCCAAUGCAUUAUGGGAAAUAUUACUCUGAAUACAGUAUUACCAACCAACUGCAAAACACAAUUACAAACGUCUAUUUAUAUCUUAAAUGCUUAAUUUUUUGUGAGAUAUUUGGUUUAAUGUCUGUUUUCACAUCAGAUGCUCGGUGUGUUCCUUUAACAUAAAUCACGUGCCUUUUCUGAGGCUUUAAUGAAAUCACCAGCCAAUUCAAUAGACAUACCAUCAGUUCUUAAUAUUGUUGCCUCUGGGUCACAAAAUGUAUUUUUAAGAUUAGUUUAGGCGAUAAUAUAUAUAUGUAUAAUCUUCAAAUAGCAGUCGAUUAGUUAAAAAAGCGCUAAUUUUAGAAUUUGAUUAAACAAAUGCGGAGGGUUCAGGCGCGAGUCGGUCACAUGAUGUGCUCCUCAGUUCUGUCAGUAGGGGGAGUGGGAGAACGCGUGUGUGUCGUCGUAUCUGUUCUGCUCAUCUAGCGCGUAUUUCUUUAUUAAUAUCUGCUGGGUUAAUAUUAAUACGUAUAUGCUAACAUUAAUUUUGUGACCACAAAAUGACAGAGAGCUAUUACACUGUAAGAGAUAUUGUGUCGUCGUGUUUGUCUUCACUCACUUCAUCAUUAUCUGCAAACAACUUCUGCAACUUCACAACGAUUGUCUGGGUGUGUGCAAAAGAAAGCAUGUUCACUGUGUAAAACCCCGCGCAGGGCAUUUUCAAAUUAACGGUCAGGGCGAGUCUGAGCUUAUCGUGUUCUGUUGACAGAGACUUUGCUGAGUGUAUGUAAAUCUGGGCUACAGUCCACGACAACUUUUCUACGGUAGUUUUACGCCUGCAUGCUCGUCCUCUCGUCCAUCGCGUGGGGAUCAUCACUACAGCGGGAAUCGCAUUGAAGAGAUCCUGUGCUUGUUGCGUGGCGGUGUGUUUGUCUGCUCACUUGGAUUGAGACCAGCAGUGCUUUUUUAAACAGUGGAUUCUUUACGACAUCAAGAUGUGGUUUGGGAAGGACCUUCAUCUAAAUCUGAAGACAGGACAUACUGGCUCAAAAAGGUGUUUCUGAUAUGGAGAAAAACCCUGCACUGCUCAUUUUAUUUCUUCAUCUUGAGAAUACAGCAAGUUUAACUUUUGUCUGGAAAAUGAUUCAGCAAAGCUAACACCAACAACAAUUUUUCAUGGCACUUCAAACCCCCUUGAUGUGAGGAGCCAGCAUCAGAAUGGAUGGUGUCAAUAUCCUGAAUGAAGAAGUGGAGGUAACAGAGGUGGAUCUCGAGACUUGGCCAUGUUCUAGAUUAUAACUGGAUUAUCACAAGUGCUGUCGCCCCUGCUGUAUAUGAUGCCCCCACCACCUACACCAGCUGUAGAAAAUGUCGGUCCUGGAGUGCCGUUGUCCUGCAGAGUAUUGCUCCAGCUCUAAACAAACACACCUGAACAAUUAGAUCUAAAGAGUCACCUGAAAACUACAGGUAGGCAAGGUUUUAUCAGGGUUGGAAAUAAAAUCUGCAGGAUUUUGGCACUCCAGAACCGAUGUUGCCUACCCCUGACCUACACCUUCAUCCUGCCACCACCACUCAUACUACCUACAAAAAAAACUGUAUUGUAAUUAUGCUUUUCACUGUAUUGUAUGAUGUGGUUUUCUCAUUUAGGGUAACUACACUAUGGCAACCAUUUGAUACAUUGAUUGCUGACUGAUUUUGUUAAUUUUUAUUUAACCUUUUGUAUAAAAUCUAAUCAUUUUUUGGUUAUUUUUGUUAAUAUUGUUACAAAUAUACAGUUAAAACUGCACAAUAAAUUUUCUGCUUUUAAAGAUAUAGUU